AGCAGUAGGGAUCUUCCGCAAUGGGCGAAAGCCUGACGGAGCAAUGCCGCGUGAGUGAUGAAGGUUUUCGGAUCGUAAAGCUCUGUUGCCAGGGAAGAACGCUUGGGAGAGUAACUGCUCUCAAGGUGACGGUACCUGAGAAGAAAGCCCCGGCUAACUACGUGCCAGCAGCCGCGGUAAUACGUAGGGGGCAAGCGUUGUCCGGAAUUAUUGGGCGUAAAGCGCGCGCAGGCGGUCAUUUAAGUCUGGUGUUUAAUCCCGGGGCUCAACCCCGGAUCGCACUGGAAACUGGGUGACUUGAGUGCAGAAGAGGAGAGUGGAAUUCCACGUGUAGCGGUGAAAUGCGUAGAUAUGUGGAGGAACACCAGUGGCGAAGGCGACUCUCUGGGCUGUAACUGACGCUGAGGCGCGAAAGCGUGGGGAGCAAACAGGAUUAGAUACCCUGGUAGUCCACGCCGUAAACGAUGAGUGCUAGGUGUUAGGGGUUUCGAUACCCUUGGUGCCGAAGUUAACACAUUAAGCACUCCGCCUGGGGAGUACGGUCGCAAGACUGAAACUCAAAGGAAUUGACGGGGCCC
rnacentral:rRNA from 1 species